rnacentral:rRNA from 1 species
CCUACGGGCGGCUGCAGUGAGGAAUAUUGCGCAAUGGAGGCAACUCUGACGCAGCCAUGCCGCGUGCAGGAAGAAGGCGCUACGCGUUGUAAACUGCUUUUAACCGGGAAGAAACCCCAGGACGUGUCCUGGGUUGACGGUACCGGAGGAAUAAGCACCGGCUAACUUCGUGCCAGCAGCCGCGGUAAUACGAAGGGUGCAAGCGUUAUCCGGAUUCAUUGGGUUUAAAGGGUGCGUAGGCGGGGCGUUAAGUCAGUGGUGAAAUCUUGCAGCUCAACUGUAAACUUGCCAUUGAUACUGACGCUCUUGAGUGCGCUUGAAGUAGGCGGAAUGUGUCGUGUAGCGGUGAAAUGCUUAGAUAUGACACAGAACACCGAUUGCGAAGGCAGCUUACUAAGGCGAUACUGACGCUGAGGCACGAAAGCGUGGGGAUCAAACAGGAUUAGAUACCCCGGUAGUC